CGGAGUGUGGCUCAGUCUGGUAGAGCACUGCGUUCGGGACGCAGGGGUCGGAGGUUCGAAUCCUCUCACUCCGA
rnacentral:tRNA from 1 species